AGUUAAUAAGCUAACCAUCCCUAAUUCAUGCUCUUGCAUCAAUAGCUUCCUGGGAAUCAAUGGAAAUACCAUGUGCGCUCAUCAAAUUAAUAAAGGCACCACUUGGACUUCUAAUGGUUUCUUUUUCUGUAGUUGUUCGUUGCAGUUUCUCAAUAAGCGGCGCCGUUUUCCUCAAGUCAUUGACUGCGAUCGGUGUUUGCUUUUUUCUAUUUAUUUUGUCCCGCUUUGUGUUUUUUGUUUGGCAUUGUAUUGUUGUGGUGUUUUGUUUGGUUUCUGUUUAGCAUAUCUUGUGCUUGUUGUUUUGCCUGAGUGGUUUUUCUUGACUGCUUGGAGAAAUAUUUGUAGGUUCAGCUGCCAGUGGACCAAACAUUUGGUUCUCUUUCAUAUUGGAGUAGGGAUUUUAUUCUUUUACUCUUGUAGUACAAUUCAAUCGACCUAGUUUCUGCAAUGUCUUCCAAGAUUCCUCUCUGCCGUUUGGUUGUUUGGUUUCUUCUGUGUUGGUACCUUUUUGUAUCAGUGUUUAGUGCUGCGGUUAGGCGGGUGUGUGGGGAAUUUA
rnacentral:misc_RNA from 1 species